rnacentral:rRNA from 1 species
AACAAACGCUGGCGGCAGGCUUAACACAUGCAAGUCGAACGCCCCGCAAGGGGAGUGGCAGACGGGUGAGUAACGCGUGGGAACAUACCCUUUCCUGCGGAAUAGCUCUGGGAAACUGGAAUUAAUACCGCAUACGCCCUACGGGGGAAAGAUUUAUCGGGGAAGGAUUGGCCCGCGUUGGAUUAGCUAGUUGGUGGGGUAAAGGCCUACCAAGGCGACGAUCCAUAGCUGGUCUGAGAGGAUGAUCAGCCACCUUGGGACUGAGACACGGCCCAAACUCCUACGGGAGGCAGCAGUGGGGAAUAUUGGACAAUGGGCGCAAGCCUGAUCCAGCCAUGCCGCGUGAGUGAUGAAGGCCUUAGGGUUGUAAAGCUCUUUCACCGAUGAAGAUAAUGACGGUAGUCGGAGAAGAAGCCCCGGCUAACUUCGUGCCAGCAGCCGCCGUAAGAC